AUCCUUUUAUUCAUUCGUAAAUGUGAUGACUGGGUGUCCACCCACUUGCAUGACAUGUGUCUCCCACAAACCUUGUUAAAUUGGCACAAUACCCAUCUGACA